rnacentral:rRNA from 1 species
UACAGAGGUCUCAAGCGUUGUUCGGAUUCAUUGGGCGUAAAGGGUGCGUAGGCGGUCAGCGCAAGUCAGUUGUGAAAUCUCCGGGCUUAACUCGGAAAGGUCAACUGAUACUGUGCGACUAGAGUGCAGAAGGGGCAACUGGAAUUCUCGGUGUAGCGGUGAAAUGCGUAGAUAUCGAGAGGAACACCUGCGGCGAAGGCGGGUUGCUGGGCUGACACUGACGCUGAUGCGCGAAAGCCAGGGGAGCGAACGGG